UAUUGUCCGACGUCGUCUUCGCCGAAUCGUCAAAAGUGGACAGCGAGAAGGCGUUUCGUUUUUUGAGCGCAGGAAGGAGCGCGCGUACAUACAAAAUAAGUGCUGAGAUGACGAGAACAGGGUUUGGGAAAAGGAAGAAAAAUUGG
ensembl:ncRNA C18F3.12 ncRNA